GAUGAACGCUAGCGACAGGCCUAACACAUGCAAGUCGAGGGGUAGCACAGAAAUAGCUUGCUAUUUUGGGUGACGACCGGCGCACGGGUGAGUAACGCGUAUGCAACCUGCCUGUAACAGGGGGCUAGCCUCUUGAAAGCGAGAUUAAUACCGCAUAAUAAAGUUGAACGGCAUCGUUCGACUUUUAAACAUUUAUGGGUUACAGAUGGGCAUGCGUUUCAUUAGGUAGUUGGUGAGGUAACGGCUCACCAAGCCGACGAUGAAUAGGGGUUCUGAGAGGAAGGUCCCCCACACUGGUACUGAGACACGGACCAGAAUCCUACGGGAGGCAGCAGUGAGGAAUAUUGGUCAAUGGACGCAAGUCUGAACCAGCCAAGUCGCGUGAAGGAUGAAGGUAUUAUGUAUUGUAAACUUCUUUUAUCAGGGAAUAAUGACCGCUACGUGUAGCGGGAGGGAAUGUACCUGAUGAAUAAGCAUCGGCUAACUCCGUGCCAGCCGCCGCAGUAACAC
rnacentral:rRNA from 1 species